GAAUGAGAACGCGGUGGGCGUAAUACCCCACUGUACCCUCCACCCUUGUGUAUCAUUCACUUGUUGCUUUGGUGGGCCGCAAGCCUUAACGGUGAGCACCGGCUUCGGCUGGAGAGUGCCUGCCAGAGGACCCAACUCUGUAAUAUUGUAACAUCUGAGUACUAUUAAAUAGUUA
rnacentral:misc_RNA from 1 species